rnacentral:tRNA from 1 species
UAGCUCAGUUGGUAGAGCAGUUGGCUUUUAACCAAUUGGUCGAAGGUUCGAAUC